UACGAAGGGUGCAAGCGUUACUCGGAAUUACUGGGCGUAAAGAGCGCGCAGGCGGUCGUUCAAGUCGAGUGUGAAAGCCCCCGGCUCAACUGGGGAGGGUCACUCGAUACUGAUCGACUCGAAGGCAGGAGAGGGAAGCGGAAUUCCCGGUGUAGUGGUGAAAUGCGUAGAUAUCGGGAGGAACACCAGUGGCGAAGGCGGCUUUCUGGCCUGCUCUUGACGCUGAGGCGCGAAAGCUAGGGUAGCAAACGGG
rnacentral:rRNA from 1 species